rnacentral:rRNA from 1 species
UACGUAGGUGGCAAGCGUUGUCCGGAUUUACUGGGCGUAAAGAGCGCGCAGGCGGUCGGAUAAGUCGAAUGUGAAAGCCCCCGGCUUAACUGGGGAGGGUCAUUCGAUACUGUUCGACUGGAAGGCAGGAGAGGGAAGCGGAAUUCCCGGUGUAGUGGUGAAAUGCGUAGAUAUCGGGAAGAACACCCGUGGCGAAGGCGGUUCUCUGGGACGGUACUGACGCUGAGACGCGAAAGCGUGGGGAGCGAACAGG